CACGCAGGCGGUCUGCUAAGUUCGGAGUGACAGUCACCAGCUUAACUGGUGAAGGACUUUGAAAACUGGCGGACUUGAGAGCGAGAGAGGGACAUGGAAUUCCGGGUGGAGCAGUGAAAUGCGUAGAUAUCCGGAGGAACACCAAAGGCGAAGGCAGUGUCCUGGCUCGUAUCUGACGCUGAGGUGCGAAAGCUAGGGGAGCGAACGGGAUUAGAUACCCCGGUAGUCCUAGCCGUAAACGAUGACCACUAGGUGUGGGAGGUAUCGACCCCUUCCGUGCCGCAGUUAACACAGUAAGUGGUCCGCCUGGGGAGUACGGUCGCAAGACUAAA
rnacentral:rRNA from 1 species